GUGAAGCUCUUUUGUCAGGAAGAAACAGCAGCUCUAAUACAGUUUGCGAAUGACGGUACCUGAAAAUAACACCGGCUAACUACGUGCCAGCAGCCGCGGUAAUCGUAGGGUGCAAGCGUUAAUCGGAAUACUGGGCGUAAAGCGUGGCAGGCGGUUAUGUAAAACAGGCGUGAAAUCCCCGGGCUUAACCUGGGAAUUGCGCUUGUGACUGCAUAGCUAGAGUAUGUCAGAGGGGGGUAGAAUUCCACGUGUAGCAGUGAAAUGCGUAGAGAUGUGGAGGAAUACCAAUGGCGAAGGCAGACCCCUGGGAUAAUACUGACGCUCAUGCACGAAAGCGUGGGGAGCAAACAGGAUUAGAUACCCUGGUAGUCCACGCCCUAAACGAUGCUGACCAGUUGUUCGGGAAUUUAUUCCUGAGUAACGUAGCUAACGCGUGAAGUCAGCCGACUGGGGAGUACGGUCGCAAGAUUAAAACUCAACGGACUUGACGGGGAACCGCACAAGCGGUGGAUGAUGU
rnacentral:rRNA from 1 species